UGCCUUGAAUUUACAUUUAGGAUUGAAAUUUUCAAAUUCAAAAAUUUAUUAUAUCAAAUAGUUGCUGCUUCAAUAUAAAAAAACAAUAAUAAUAUUUUUUUUUAGUCCGGGAAAAUGCAGUUUGAUUUUCAAAUGUAUCAAUUCCCAAAUAUUUUAAAAAGAAAAAAAGACCGGUUGGUCGCAAAUUAAAAGAGGAUUUAUCGGCAGUUGCAGAUUGACGGCAUUGUUUAUGGAGGCCAUAACUCAUGUACAUUUGAUAGACUUCAAAAGAACUUUAAAUUAUAACGAUUAUUUAUUAUUGUUAUCAAAUGUUGUUUGUCCUAUUGUGCCUCUGUAUACAUACAACUUGAAUGAAGUGCUUGUCAAUAUAUUUUUAUAAGCUUUAACACUAUUUCAUAGCAAGCAAUAUAUUCAAUUUACGUUGAA